rnacentral:ncRNA from 1 species
CAAAAGUCCAUGAAGGAGAAAAGUAGGUUAGACCCAGUCUCCCAGGGAGGAAACGUCACCGACUGAGAGCGUUUCCAGAUAUGGCUAAUUGAAGUUCUCUCCGGAGAUGCCGACUGAACUAAUAGUAGGUUGGGCCGUUGUUCCCACGUUACAGGGAAGGGGGUAUCGGACUUUGUUCCCGUACUCUGCACAGAGGGGAUCUCCAAGUUUUUUGGGAUCAACUAGGGUGGUAACGCGGUAGCGAUCAGCUUCUCGUCCCUAAA